rnacentral:rRNA from 1 species
AUGGCAGACAAAUGGAAGAAUCAAACAAAGAAGCACUUGGCAGUGAAACUAGAAGUGGAUGUCAAAGUCGUGCAAUUUUUGUUUCUCGUUGAUCUGGCUUGGUGUCCUUCCCUUGUAUGCGGGUUAUGUGUCACGGACUUGAUGUCGCAUCCUACGUUCCCUUGUUGGGGGCCCUUGGCCCCGGCGACAGGUAGCGUCGUGCACACAUCCUGUGGGUUAGACAUUGCGGUGCCGACUGCCCCUGCUCCUGCUUCGCCGAUAGGUGGUGCUCGAGCGUUCGGCUAUGGCGGCGCCCAGCAGGGGAACAUGGGUUGUGGGAUCGAGGCAGCACACAAAGCAACCUGUAGCCAAGCAAAGGAUGCCCAACCGGACUGGCGUGGAGCGGAGAGUGCACGAGGGGUGUGGGGGAAGGGUGAAAAUGUCGUCGGGAGUGGGACUGCCGCUGCCGUCAGAUUUUGA